rnacentral:tRNA from 1 species
GGGCUCGUGGCGCAGUGCCGCAUCUGCGGCGCGCAGCAUGGAUAGCGCGGUAGCCUCCUAAGUUACAGGUCGAGGGAUCGAAGCCCUCCGAGCCCG